GCAACACCGACGGAUGCUUGCCUUGGGUUCACUGGUCUUUUGGGUAGCGUCAGUGGACGACAACUAGCAACGGAGUGGCGGUGGACGGUGAGGGCACUAGAGGCGACGGACGGUUGUAAUAUGGAAUGCUUUGACCUCUGAGAAAGUGGCAAGAUGGCCAUCUAAUCACACUGGUGCUCCACGGUGGCUAGAGCACUCACCAGUAGAGGCAUCCUUUGUUUCAUGUGGGACUGAUAGUAACCGCCAGACUUUGAGAAAUAGGAGGAGUGUAC